AUUGAACGCUGGCGGCAUGCCUUACACAUGCAAGUCGAACGGCAGCACGGGAGCAAUCCUGGUGGCGAGUGGCGAACGGGUGAGUAAUAUAUCGGAACGUGCCCAGUCGUGGGGGAUAACGCAGCGAAAGCUGUGCUAAUACCGCAUACGAUCUAUGGAUGAAAGCGGGGGAUCGCAAGACCUCGCGCGAUUGGAGCGGCCGAUAUCAGAUUAGGUAGUUGGUGGGGUAAAGGCUCACCAAGCCGACGAUCUGUAGCUGGUCUGAGGGGACGACCAGCCACACUGGAACUGAGACACGGUCCAGACUCCUACGGGAGGCAGCAGUGGGGAAUUUUGGACAAUGGGGGCAACCCUGAUCCAGCCAUGCCGCGUGAGUGAAGAAGGCCUUCGGGUUGUAAAGCUCUUUCGGCCGGGAAAAAAUCGCAUGGGUUAAUACCCUGUGUGGAUGAUGGUACCGGAAUAAGAAGCACCGGCUAACUACGUGCCAGCAGCCGCAGUAACAC
rnacentral:rRNA from 1 species